CAGCAGUAGCCGCGGUAAUACGUAGGGUGCAAGCGUUAAUCGGAAUUACUGGGCGUAAAGCGUGCGCAGGCGGUUUGUUAAGACAGAUGUGAAAUCCCCGGGCUCAACCUGGGAACUGCAUUUGUGACUGGCAAGCUAGAGUAUGGCAGAGGGGGGUGGAAUUCCGCGUGUAGCAGUGAAAUGCGUAGAUAUGCGGAGGAACACCGAUGGCGAAGGCAGCCCCCUGGGCCAAUACUGACGCUCAUGCACGAAAGCGUGGGGAGCAAACAGGAUUAGAUACCCCCGUAGUCCCUGUCUCUUAUAC
rnacentral:rRNA from 1 species